CGAGUGAAGCGGCAACAGCUCAAAUUUGAAAUCUGGCCCCGUCGGGGUCCGAGUUGUAAUUUGUAGAGAGUGUUUCGGGUGAGACCACGGUCUAAGUCCAUUGGAACAUGGCGUCAUAGAGGGUGAGAAUCCCGUAUGUGACUGUGGCUCGAGCCCAUGUGAAGCCUCUUCGACGAGUCGAGUUGUUUGGGAAUGCAGCUCAAAAUGGGUGGUAAAUUUCAUCUAAAGCUAAAUACUGGCUGGAGACCGAUAGCGCACAAGUAGAGUGAUCGAAAGAUGAAAAGCACUUUGGAAAGAGAGUCAAAAAGUACGUGAAAUUGUUGAAAGGGAAGCGCUUGCAACCAGACCUGUCCGUAGGUGAUCAGCCGCUGUUCUCAGCGGUGCACUCGCUCUGCGAUCAGGCCAGCAUCGGUUCCGGCGGUCGGAUAAAGGCCUUGGGAAUGUAGCUCCUCUCGGGGAGUCUUAUAGCCCUCGGUGCAAUGCGGCCAGCCGGGACCGAGGACCGCGCUUCGGCUAGGAUGCUGGCGUAAUGGUUGUAAGCGACCCGUCUUGAAACACGGACCAAGGAGUCUAACAUCAAUGCGAGUGUUUGGGUGUUAAACCCAUGCGCGGAAUGAAAGUGAACGGAGGUGAGAACCCGUUAGGGCGCAUCAUCGACCGAUCCAGAUGUCUUCGGAUGGAUUUGAGUAUGAGCAUUGCUGUUGGGACCCGAAAGAUGGUGAACUAUGCCUGAAUAGGGUGAAGCCAGAGGAAACUCUGGUGGAGGCUCGCAGCGGUUCUGACGUGCAAAUCGAUCGUCAAAUUUGGGUAUAGGG
rnacentral:rRNA from 1 species